rnacentral:misc_RNA from 1 species
AAGACUAUAGACCUGCGGAGUACCUGCGGAAGGAUCAUUAUUGAAUUAUGUUUCUAAAUGGGUUGUAGCUGGCUCGUCAGAGCAUGUGCACGCCUGUUUGGACUUCAUUUUCAUCCACCUGUGCACCUAUUGUAGUCUUUGGUUGGGUAUCAAGGAAGUGGUCAGCCUAUCGGCACUUGCUGGAUGUGAGGACUUGCAGUGUGAAAGCUUUGCUGUCCUUUACUUGAUCAUGGAGUUGUU